rnacentral:lncRNA from 1 species
UGGUGUAUGUUAUCAGCAGAAUUUUAAUGUUCAAGAAAAGGGACACACAUAAGUUGAGAGUGCUAUUUACAGGCUUUCCUUCUCAUGAAUACACAUACAUACAUAUACAUAUACGUGUAUAAAAGCAUUGUGUACUCAAUAUCCUCUAUGUUUGUAUAAAUUCAAUUGGAUGUUAGGUGCAGAAUUUAGUUUAUUAUACCCACAGAGGGCUAGAGACAAGGUUAGACUAUAUAAAAGAGUUGUCUUUCCAUGGCUCAAUAAUUUUCCAUUCUGUCUGUCAAGAAAGCCAUGGAAAACAAUCAAUAAAAAGUGGACCUGAUGCAACACAAUGAGCUUGAACUAUGGAAAAAACGUGGCUGCAUUUAUCAACAAUGAACAGAAGCUGGAUCUGGGCCCUCUUCACAUGAUCCUUUGUUGAUUUAGGUACAGUAGUUGGCAUUUAUCAACAUGUGUGUUAACAGCGAACAUUUUUUGUUUAGAUUAGUGAGGAAUGUAAAAACCAAGGAAAGCAGGUAAAGAACAGUGCAUUGAGUAGUACAAAAGGAAAAGAAGAAUUAAGGUGAUUAAUAAGUCAUUUCAAAGAAUCAUUUUGAUCAUACACACAGUUUCCCAGUGCACUUGUGGGCAUUUAUCUUUAUAAUUCCGUAAUGUCCAUCACCUUGACAUUUCUGUCCUAUGUGGGAAGUAUACGCACUGAAGUAGCUCCUAUAGAAAGAUACUAUUACUACUAAACAACAAUAGUGAAAGACUAAUCUACCCCCCUUGAUUUCUACUUCAUUCUACACUUGCUAGACCUUGUGAAUAUUUUCUCCUCUUGCUGCAUAUAUACAUACAUAUAUGUAUACGCUUGAUGUUUAAGUAGGUCAUAUAGUCUUCCUUGACAAACAGUAUGUCUUCUAUUCUUCCUGCACAAUAUAAUUUCUUUAUUCUCUCUUCUUUGAAUGCUUUCUACUUCAUUUAUUUUAUAGUAGAUAAACAUGAACUGCCUGUGGAUAUUUGCUUAAUAAACGAAUAAAUGAAUGAAAUGCACAAACAUGUUUUUAGAUUCCCAACCCCUUGAGGGUGGGAAGCUUGUCUCAACUUUGCCCAUUAUAUCAUGACAAGAGUGUUCAAAAAACAAAAUAGCAAUCUCAGCACAUACAUUGACAUGAUUCCCUCCCAAGUGCCAAACCACUGAUACUAGACUCGAUGACAAAGUCCUUCUCAGUCUCAAGUCAAUUAAGACCCUUCCCAAUGAAUUACAAAUGGCCCCUGUAUCUGAGCCAUCAGUGGCUUUGAGUAGGUCCCCAGGGAGUGUUUGUCAAAUUGUGGAUGUCAUGUAACAUUUUCUAUUAAAACAGAGACCAAAAUGCAGAGAGACAAUGAGACAAAUGCAGCAAUGUAAUAUUGUGGAUUAAAUAACAAAAAUUCAAGUUUCUAUUAAAGAUAUCUGUGUUGUUUUAAGUGCAAGCACUGUAAGGGUCUGUAUUUAUUUAUUUACUUAUUUAUUUAGUCUUUUUAGGGCCGCACUUGCCGCAUAUGGAAGUUGCAGGCUAGGGGUUGAAUCAGAGCCACAGCUGCCAGCCUAGACCACAACCACAGCAAGCCCAGAUCCUAGCUGUGUCUGCGACCUACUCCACAGCUCAUGGUCACGUCAGAUCCUUAACCCACUGAGUGAUGCCAGGGAUCAAACCCGUGUCUUCAUGGAUACUAGUCGGGUUUGUUGCGGCUGAGCCACAACAGGUCGUGAAAGGGUCAUUAAUUAAUGUGUUAUUUCCUUGUUCCCAAAGGUACAAAGAGUGAUGAGCGUCAUUUUCACAUGUAUCCAGGUUAACAGUCACUGAGUGGCUCUGACCACGUAUCUACCCAGAAUGUUUGCCACACAUCCAUCCCGUGGCCAUCGGAGAGCCACAGACCUGGAGCGGUGAGCAGGACUGGGGAGGGGGCUCAAUUCCUAGCUAUUGUACUUCUCAGGGGUUUAAGUGGAAAAAGGCCUUUGAGAUGAAAAUAAGUUCUUGUAACUAAAUCUCCCAUAAGAGUUGAGCAAUAUAUUCUCUGGGCCUUGGAUUGGAAAUACCUCUUCGUUUCAUAUUUGUGGCUAAUGCCACCCAAAUGGUAAACUCACAUCCUGAUUGUGGUCUGUGCCAAAGACUUAAUUGAGAAUGCUGCUGGUUUCCCUCCUAUGUCCUUGAUUCUGCAAAUCGUUAGUGUGUGCUUUAACAAUGAGUUCAACUGAGGCAACACAAAACCAUGAAAAUUGAGGAUUCUGUCUUCAGAAAAGGAAGACCAACUUUUUUUCCAGUGGGCACUCAUCUUUGUUUUUAACUUCAUAGCUCAUACAUAUACAUAUGAAUGAUCACUUCUUUUACUGUACCUUACACUGAAUUAUAACCAUUUGAAUAUCGGUUUCUCCAGAUAGACACUCUAUGACAAGAAAUGAUUUUAUGCAUUUUUCCAUUCCCAGCUUCCAGGAUUAUGCCUGAAAUUCCUGGGAGGUCUUUGAACCUUCCCUGAAGUUGAAUCUGUAAGUAUAUUUAAAUUCUCCAAGCUUUAGUUUUCCACGUGCGAGAUGUCGUUAUGCGUAAGCAGAGGAGUUCCUGGCACAACAGGUUAUAAUCGCAGGCAGGUAUGGGUGGAGAAGGAAAAAUGUUUUAUUUUGUUUUGAUUUGCUUUGCAGAUAGCCUUGCAAGAUAAAGAAAUUAGCUGGAUUCAUUUGAAUAUUUCUCUCAAUUUCUUUUUAGAGAGUCAGGGAGUUCAUAUGCCUGUGAAACUCUUCAUACGAGAGGAUGGAGCUUCCCACUGCCUGGAAGAAAGACAAGCUUCUUUCACUAGCGCUGACUUAGAAUCAUGUAUGGAACAGAGUAGAAAGAAAUCUAGUGUCCACUGUCUAAGUGUUUAGCGGCUCCCGAGAAAAGUAAACCUUUAAAAUAGCCACGGGAUGUGUUCAUUAGAGAGCACCUUAUGCCUUUGAAGAAAUCUCUGCUCAGGCACUGUUUCUUUUCAGGCAUUUCCUACACUUUUGUUGCUGAGUCUUGGCAGAUCUCAGAAAAGUUUUGGCUUUGUCUGGUUGCCUAAUGCCUGAGGCUGGGGCAGAGUCUCCAUUCAUCUCCAUCUAGAUCCUAUCCCCACCCCACCCCUACGGUGUCUUUUCUUUGUGCUGGGCCACAUUGGAUUUCAAAAGGAACUGUGGAUUAAAAAACAAAUACAGCUCAAUGGGAAGGGAGGGGAUAAGCGGAUGCCUUGUGGUGUAAGAAGUUCCUCAAAUUUCCUAAAAUAAAAAUCUCUGUGUUUUUACACAGAAUCUGGCCUUGAGCCAUUCGGUAAUAUCAAUAAAGUAUCCUUUUCUGCCAUCUUUAAGGAAACAGAUUUCCCUAAAUCAGAAAGAGAACAUUCCUUUCACUGUAAACUAUGUGCUUGCUCUUCCUACUUUGAAUUCCCAGUGAACAUAUAAUGUUAAAAAUAGGCACAAUCCUGGUAUGCCUGUGAACCAGUCAAUGACUUUUAAUAGAUACCAAGUCCAGUGAUUAAUCUGGGAAAAUAUAUGGAACAAAAGGAACAAUUGUCUCCUUCUUGUGUUCUGGAGGGUGUGAAAUGGAGCGUUAUCAUCAUUAUAAGUUGUCAUGUCACCAGUCUCAGACAGAUACUAUUGGUGUAAAAAUGCAGUAUUAGAUUUUUUUAUCCAGCCAGUUCUUCUAGCACUUAAUAGAUAAUUCAGCCACAAAGAGAGUAGAUUUAUUUUUGUCUCUAGCUACAUUGUCUACACUAUUUGGGGAUAAUUCUAAGAACCCCACUUCAGGAGUUUCCAUGGUGGCUCAGUGAAUUACGAACCCCGCUAUUAUCCAUGAGGAUGUGGGUUCAAUCCCUGGCCUCUCUCAGUGGGUUAAGGAUCCAGUGUGGCAGUAAGCUGUGAUGUAGAUCGCAGACGUGGCUCAGAUACUGCAUUGCUCUAGCUGUGGCUGUGGCUGGCAACUGCAGCUCCAAUUCAACCUCAACCUGGGAACUUCCCUAUGCCAUAGGUGUGG